CCGACCUUAGCUCAGUUGGAAGAGCGCAAGACUGUAAUGGUUAAAGAACAUCUUGAUGUCGCCUGUUCGAGCCAGGCAGGUCGGA
rnacentral:tRNA from 1 species